UUCUGCAUCAUCGCACUGCCCCAGCCCUGGUUCCUGCCGUUUCCUCAUCACAAAGCAUACAACUAGGCAAAAAGCGACAGUUGGGAAGUGUUCUUUUCCUGCUGCUACCUAGCAUUUCUUCCGUGAGGAGUAUUUACCUUUGUUUAGCCAGGAGCAGAGAAGCAGUCUGCAUGCACACAAUGGCUUCACACUUGGCAGCGUGCAUUUCCAGCAGAGCAGGUACUGCUUGGAGCCUGGUGGCCAGAUUGCCCCUGGUGGAGCGCGGCUGGGUCCCCAGCACUUGUGGGAAUAGCGUGUGCGGGCUUCUCACGCCGCGCCGCUCUACCUGCAGGAAUACAGGCUAGGACAAAGGAGAUGCUGAUGCCGUUUGUCUGGCUGGGGCCCGGGCAGGCAGACUCCACCGAACUGAUGCUGUGUGACUCUCCCAGCUCCCAGUUCGGGCUGGUCACGGGGGCUGGAGCAGAUCCCCGCUCCUCAGUUAGAACACGGUUUAAAGGAGAAACCAGACUCACUGACCUAAAUGCAUCCCAGUCCUCUCUGGAUGCGGGGACAGCUGUCGACUAGCAGUGACACAGCCAGCCAUCAAGUGGAGAAUCGUUGCGACUGCAGUCUGGGUGCAGGUGGAGCCCGGGAGAUUGACAGUUUAAUUGCGGUCCUCCGAUGGCUUCUUAUUUUCCUAAAUAAUUGUGCUCGCUAAGUGUACAGUUGCCUGGAUUAGUCUGCCUUCCACACAGUCUUCAUCUGCGCUGGUGGGAAAUCAGGGUGCCAGGCAAGGCUGUUUAGUGCUGGCUCCUUCCUGCGUGAUGUGAUUCAACUAGGAUGGGUCACACUGACAACAAAGAAGGAAGCAGAAAGCAUCACUUUAUCUUCUCUUGUGAUGUUAGCGGAACACAACUGUUCUUCUUCGCAGUGAUGCCCUCCUCUGUGUGUGUGUGCGUGUGUUUGUGUGUGUGUGUGUUUUAAUUCAUCUAAUCGAAGAGCCUAACAGAUAUCAUCAUGGAUGUGUGCCUUUUUAAAAAUGAUUUGGAAAAAAAGGCAGCCUGUGGAGACAGCGAUUUGAGACAGCUGCACAUUUAGGUUAUUGCCAAUUUGAAAUACUUUGGUUUGUGAAGCCGAGCCCUAAGAGACAAGCUGGGUAACUGAGAAAGAGAUCGUAGAUAAAGAAAUAAAAAUGACAAGCGUAAUGGAGGCUCUGUGGAAGGACUGUCAGAGCAUCAGUUCCUGGAUGGCAAUUUCGCCAGGCUGAGAUUGAAUAAUUCAUAGAUUGAAAUUACCCUGCUUUCACCUUUCCAUUUAAACCGGCAUGAUCUGAAUCUCUAAUAAAUUUUCCAGAUAAAGUAAAAUGCCAGUUUGAAUCUGAAGAGCUUUUAAAACCAGAUGCUGCAUCCCUGAAUCUUUCGGUAUCUUUCACAAUUAUCCUGUGAGGACUGCACUUCAUCACGAAGCAGCAUUACCAGUGAAAAUUACUGUGAUUACAAUAGCAACAGUAGAAUACCGUCAAAUGAUCUCUAAUUUACCUAAUUUGCUAAGACUGUGUGCUUUUAACGCCCAUUGUAUGUCACCCUGCCGGGCACCCGGGAUCUCUCUUGCACCGAAACAAAAGUGAGGCAGUGUAUGUGAUACCUUAACUCCCAAAGCAAAGAACAUUCUCCUAGGUUACAACGUCUCUUUCGUUGGGUUUGCAUUUGUGUGUGUGUGUGUGUGUGUGUGUGUGUUUCCAUUGCCUAUACCCCAAAUGUCCAUUUGGGGAAUUGGUGAACGUGUUGUGUAUUUGGGGUUGAUUCUUGGAUACAGGAGAGCACAGACUUCUUAAUUUAUACACCCUUUUAAUUUUAAUGUAUACAAGCAUGUGUUUACCAGAAGGGAGGGAAGAUUCUGUUCUAGGAGGAGUUUAAAAAUGCAGCCAAGAUGAAGUGUUCAUCUUUGUUUCUUUUUUGAAACCCCUCUCUGCUUUCAGGUUAGAGAGUCUUUCAGGGAAUUAUAAUCCUGGUGUGAUGUGUUAAAACAAAAACAAAAACAAAAACGUUUCAGAUUGAGAAGAAGCUCAAGAGAUAUCCAGUAAUAACUCUGUGCAGCCCUUAUUGAGAGCAUGUGUGCCUGAGUGAGUACAGGAAGCUUUGGUCCUAGACUUUGGUUGUGUUUGUGUCUGCUCGCUCUCCAAGUAGAAGUCUCACCCAAAUAAGUGCUGCAGGUUUUGCCUCAGGGGUCACUGUGCCACCUGCGAGAGUGGCAUGGUUCUUCAAGCCUCCGUGGAGAACAGACUGUGAUCAUUUGAUAGGCACAGGCACUUGUGGAAUUUCACCCUCAGUAGCAGACAGUAUGUGGGCUUCUGCUAGUCAAGUGAUUUAAGUUUGACUCUCUAGGUAGGGUUUCCGAGGGAUGACAAUCUCUGCGGAGGAAGGUGGGUUUGAAACAUACCUGUCUAAUAUUGCGAGUUGUUUGCUGAAGACCCUGAGCUCUGGUAUAUUUCUUAAUCCAUUAUCCCAGCUUUACCUCUUCCUGCACGCCUGCAAACACCUUUGGCAGAAGGAGGUCUAAGAAGGCCCCUCCCCCCAGCUUUCAGUUUGGUGUGGAGCAAAAACAACCAAUAGAACUCACUGAAUGAUCAAGCUCUUCCAGGUGAGGGCUCCAGGUUUUCCUCAGCUGUUCCCCAUGAGACUGCCCUCCUUCUUUCAGAAUUCUACAUUACAAAGUCAAAUUGUGGAAUAUGUGCAAGCAUAGGUUUAAUUUAAUUUUAACAAAAGGGGGAGACACAGGGUCUUUCCGUCUAGGAGGGUCAAAGGUAGAAUUGUGGAAGAUUAAUUUCCUACCACAUCACUGCAAAACAUAGCAGAUGACUGAGGACGUACCAGAGAAACACAGCCUUUAGGCUCAGCAAGAGGGGCCUCUGCCCUGGGCACCGUGCUUUUGAGAGCUGCACUUCAGAGGGCCCUGCUCUGCCCCUCUGCUGUCAUGCCCUGUCACAGCACCCCCCACAGGGCAAAGUCAGUGGGUCAAGGGGACUCGUCCAUCCAGAGCCUGCGCUUCCCCUCCCUCCUAGAGCGCGCUUCCUGGAAUCCUGAAUUCCUGCAUAAGCAUCCCUGUGUAAACAUCCGCGGCUGAGGAUGAAGGAUGCUGCCAGUGUCUGUACUCCUAGGCCUGAGAGGCGGGCAGAGGAGGCCGCUGGGGAGCAGCCUCAGGGUGUAACCGAGCAGGACCCUGUGGGGCCUUCCCGGGAGAGACCCCUCCCCCAUAGCCUCUGCUGAAGCUCCUCUCUCAAGUGCCCAGGUAACAGUAUCUGAUGCACGUUUCUUGAGUUGUUUUACAGAUGAGAAAACCUCCACCACGUGGAAGACAUUAACUGCUUGAUGACCAUGAGCACGUAGCCCUCUCGCCUACUGGGGCCUAAGGAUUGAGCACGUUAACCCCUGUGACGCCUGUUACCUCACCAUCAACCAAUCAGAGAAUUGUGCACGAGCUCAUCACGUACCCUGGGACGCCCCUCCCUCACCUGGCCUUUAAAGAUACUUUGCUGAAACCCAUGGAGGAGUUGCGUGUUUUGAGCACUAGCUGUCUUGGACGCCUUGCUUGGUGCCCUGCAGUAAACGCUGCACAUUCCUUCAUCACAACCAGGCGUCAGUAACUUGGCUUUACUGCGCGUGGGUGAGAGGACCCAAGUUUGGUUGGGUAACAAGGUGGGCUGGAGCGUCCACACACGUGGGAGACGCCUUUCCUAACGCAAGAAAGCACCGGGAGUGAGCAGAGGGGUUGGUCAGGCCAGAAGCUGCUGCCUGUACCGCCGCCUCAUUCUGGCCUAGAAACCCGGAGCAGGGAAGAACCGCACGUUCCGUUCUGGUCUUGGGAAGGAGGAUUUGUCAAGAUUCUCACAGCCAAAGACUCUUAUCUGCAGACCUGCCAAAGGAAGUGAUUGCCAAAGGGUCUUUUAAAUGAAGAAUGGAGACAAUCUGUUGCCUUUUUUCAUUCCGAACCACCACGGUAUUGGAUUUGAAGUGCUAUUUGGGCAUUUAAAAAUAAUUCUCUUUCGCUAGACUGUGAAGCUCUCCAGGCUAAGGACUCUUUUUCCUUCAUCAUGAUAUUUCCAGCUCAUACAGAAGUUUAUUGCACUUACUUGAUCAUUAAAAUGUUUAGCGAAGAAAAGAAGAAAACUGCAGCUGUAUUAGUUCAUUGUUGUUGUUUUUAAGUUUAUUCGUUAAA